rnacentral:rRNA from 1 species
GACGAACCGUGCGAACGUUAUUCGGAAUCACUGGGCGUAAAGCGCACGCAGGCGGUUUGAUAAGUCAGGGGUGAAAUCCCGGAGCUCAACUUCGGAAUUGCCUUUGAUACUGUCUGUCUUGAGUCCGGGAGAGGUGAGUGGAAUUCCUAGUGUAGAGGUGAAAUUCGUAGAUAUUAGGAAGAACACCAGUGGCGAAGGCGGCUCACUGGCCCGGUACUGACGCUCAUGUGCGAAAGCGUGGGGAGCAAACAGG